CGCCCCUGCAUCAUAUCAAUCGUGCACAUAUAAACAACUUAUAAACAAUACGUGUCUCGUCAUCGUCAUGAGAGUAGACUUAUUUUACUUCCUUUUGGGCUAAGAAAAAAUAUGGAAUGCUGACAUAUGAAAAGUAUAAAUAAUUGAAAAGAAAAGAAAGAAAAGAAAAGAAAAGAAAAAUGACAAAGAUUAAAAACAAAAAUGAAGAUACCCA
rnacentral:lncRNA from 1 species